AUUAACCCUAUUACUGUACACACAUAAGGUUGCAUGGUACCAUAUACACAAGUACAUGAAGAAUGCCUAGCAGUUGGUUAUUAGGAACUAAGGGUCAGCAGGUUCACCACCACAAAAUGCAUCUGGUUCAAAUGAUCUUGCAGACUCAUCAUCGUAGACUCCUGGUACAGAUCUACCACCAGCUUCUUCUGAUGGUAUAUAACUAUCCUUUUGGCCAUUCUCAAUAUUGACAAAAACAACUACACACACAAGCAAAGAUGUUGCAAGAACCACCAAGGUGUUCUUUAAUCUACUCAGGACAGGCUUCACAGAAAAAGAACCCAAAAGGCGGUCCCGUGCCAAAACUUCAGGAGUCUUCACCCAUAUCUGGCCAUCAUACCAUCCUGUUUCUUCAUAUUCAACAGUGGCACUAAGCAAUCUGUUACCAACAUAAGCCCAACCAAGAUACAUCCUCACAACAGCCAAAGUGACAACAAUAAGGCCACCAGAAACAGCACCCAAGAACGGUUUAAGGGGUUCGGGUAUGGGUCCAGCCGACCCGAAUAAGUUAACAGGAAGACCCACAAAGAGGGCAAAAGCAAGUCCAGUAGCAAAUAAACGGGAACAGUACUCAACCAAGUCACCAGAAGCCCAUGAAAAAGGGAAAGAAUCAGAAAGGGCUUUGAAUUCG
rnacentral:misc_RNA from 1 species